GUUGGACUAGUAACCAGCAGGUAGCCUAGUGGUUAGAGAGUUGGACUAGUAACCAGCAGGUAGACUAGUGGUUAGAGCGUUGGACUAGUAACCAGCAGGUAGCCUAGUGGUUAGAGAGUUGGACUAGUAACCAGCAGGUAGACUAGUGGUUAGAGCGUUGGACUAGUAACCAGCAGGUAGCCUAGUGGUUAGAGCGUUGGACUAGUAACCAGCAGGUAGCCUAGUGGUUAGAGCGUUGGACUAGUAACCAGCAGGUAGCCUAGUGGUUAGAGCGUUGGACUAGUAACCAGCAGGUAGCCUAGUGGUUAGAGCGUUGGACUAGUAACCAGCAGGUAGCCUAGUGGUUAGAGUGUUGGACUAGUAACCAGCAGGUAGCCUAGUGGUUAGAGCGUUGGACUAGUAACCAGCAGGUAGCCUAGUGGUUAGAGCGUUGGACUAGUAACCAGCAGGGAGCCUAGUGGUUAGAGUGUUGGACUAGUAACCAGCAGGUAGCCUAGUGGUUAGAGCGUUGGACUAGUAACCAGCAGGUAGCCUAGUGGUUAGAGCGUUGGACUAGUAACCAGCAGGUAGCCUAGUGGUUAGAGCGUUGGACUAGUAACCAGCAGGUAGCCUAGUGGUUAGAGCGUUGGACUAGUAACCAGCAGGUAGCCUAGUGGUUAGAGCGUUGGACUAGUAACCAGCAGGUAGCCUAGUGGUUAGAGCGUUGGACUAGUAACCAGCAGGUAGCCUAGUGGUUAGAGUGUUGGACUAGUAACCAGCAGGUAGCCUAGUGGUUAGAGCGUUGGACUAGUAACCAGCAGGUAGCCUAGUGGUUAGAGCGUUGGACUAGUAACCAAAAGGUUUAAAGAUUGAAUCCCCGAGCUGACAAGGUAAAAAUCUGUUGUUCUGCCCCUGAACAAGGCAGUUAACCCAAUGUUCCCCGGUAGGCCGUCAUAGUAAAUAGGAAUUUGUUCUUAACUGACUUGCCUAGUUAAAUAAAAGGUUAAAUAAAAAAUAAAUGUCCUAAACCCAUUUUAAAAAAGGCGUCGAGAAAUGCAGGCUACCGUUUAUUAAUGAAUCAAUAUUUCUUGCUGAUAUGAAAGAUACAUUCCUUAUGUUCCUCAAACAAUACCGCAACCGAUCCGUGUUCAUGUAAAGUAACGGGCUCCCGAGUGGCGCAGCGGUCUAAGGCAUCUUCGGGGCUUGAGGCGUCACUACAAACAUCCUGGUUCGAUUCUUCGGCUGUAUCACAUAAAAAACGGCGGUGUUUGGGAGUCCCAUAGGGCGGCGCACA